GAUGAACGCUAGCGGCAGGCCUAACACAUGCAAGUCGAGGGGCAGCACGUCUUCGGAUGGUGGCGACCGGCGCACGGGUGCGUAACGCGUAUGCAACCUACCUCUUACAGUGGGAUAGCCCAGAGAAAUUUGGAUUAAUACCGCAUAGUAUACAGAUUCAGCAUUGGGACUGUAUUAAACAUUUAUGGGUAAGAGAUGGGCAUGCGUUCUAUUAGUUAGUUGGAGUGGUAACGGCACCCCAAGACAGCGAUAGAUAGGGGCCCUGAGAGGGGGACUCCCCACACUGGUACUGAGACACGGACCAGACUCCUACGGGAGGCAGCAGUGAGGAAUA
rnacentral:rRNA from 1 species